CAAAGGUUUGGUCCUAGCCUUACUGUUAAUUACAAUUAGAUCUACACAUGCAAGUUUCCGCUGCCCAGUGAGAAUGCCCUUAAAGUUACUACAAAACAAACAGGAGCAGGUAUCAGGCACACUCAAAGUAGCCCACUACACCUUGCUUAACCACACCCCCACGGGAUACAGCAGUGACUAACAUUAAGCCAUAAACGAAAGUUUGACUAAAUCACAAUUAUUAGGGUCGGUAAAUCUCGUGCCAGCCACCGCGGUCAUACGAUUGACCCAAAUUAACAAAUAAAUCGGCGUAAAGUGUGUUUAAGCAUUCAUCACAAAUUAAAGCUAAAAUCUAACUAAACUGUAAUACGCUAUAGUUAACGUUAAAAUAAACAAUGAAAAUGGCUUUAACCUAUGCCGAAGACACGAAAGCUAAGAAACAAACUGGGAUUAGAUACCCCACUAUGCUCAGCCAUAAACCAAGAUAAUUCAAACAACAAAAUUAUCCGCCAGAGAACUACUAGCCAACGCUUAAAACUCAAAGGACUUGGCGGUGUCCUAAACCCACCUAGAGGAGCCUGUUCUAUAAUCGAUAAACCCCGAUAAACCCCACCCACUCUUGCCAAUACAGCCUAUAUACCGCCAUCGUCAGCCUACCCCUCAGGGUAACAAAGUAAGCAAAAUCAUCAACCAUAAAAACGUUAGGUCAAGGUGUAGCAUAUGAGUAGGGAAGAAAUGGGCUACAUUUUCUAAAUUAGAAAACAACGAACUAUCUUAUGAAACCCAAGAUACCGAAGGAGGAUUUAGUAGUAAAUUAAGAAUAGAGAGCUUAAUUGAAAUAGGCAAUAGGACGCGCACACACCGCCCGUCACCCUCCUCAACUACCAUCAAAUAAUAACUAAUAAAACAUAAACAAAAAGAGGAGAAAAGUCGUAACAUGGUAAGUGUACUGGAAAGUGCACUUGGAAUAUC
rnacentral:ncRNA from 1 species